UCCAUUCUUUUAUUUUCAACAUGCUUGUAUUGCUAUAUUUAAAGUGAGUUUCUUGUUGACAACAUUGAGUUGACAACAUUGCCUUUUAAUUGUUGUAUUUAGACCAGCCCCAUUAAAUGUAAUUAUUUAUAUGGUAGGGCUUAAAUCUUCUAUUUUAUUUUCUGUUUAUUUUUUCUUCCUUUUUCCCCUCUAUUUUCCUUUUCCCACCUGCCUGUGGGUUUUUGAAUGUUGUUUAGAUUUCAUUUUGAUUUAUGUAUAGUGUUUUGGUGUUACCUCUUUUAUAUGACCUUUUUGGUGGUUGCUUUAGUUAUUACAUUAUACACACUUAAGUUACCACAGUUUACUGGGGGUGUCUUUUUACUAGUUCAAGUGAAGUAUAGAAACCCUACCCACUGUUAUGUUCUUUUACCCUCCACCAUUUAUAAUUAUCUUAGCGAUUUCCUCCAUAUACAUUUAGAACCACAUCAUAUAGUGUUAAGAUUUUUGCUUCAACCCUCAAACCUAAUUUAGAAAAUGGAAGAGCAGAAGGAGUCUAUUGUAUUUACCCAUAUUUUUGGUUCUUGUGUUUUUUCUUUUCUACUGAUGUUCCAACAUUCUGAAUUUUAUCAUUUCUUCUUUGUUUCAAGAACUUUCCUUACCUAUUCAUUUAGGGUGGGUCUAUUGGUGACACAUUCUCUUAGUUUUCUUUCACCUGGGAAUGACCUGAUUUUCUCUUCCUUCCUACAGGUUAUUUUUGCUGGGUAUAGGAUUUUGGGUUGACAGUUCUUUCUUUCAGCAUUUGUAAAAUGUUAUGUCAUUUCCUCUGGUCUCCAAGGUUUCUGAUGAGAAAUACACUGUCGUUCAAAUUGUUAGCUUCUAUACAUAAUGUGCAUUUUCUCUCUUACUUCUUUCAAAAGUUUGUUUUUGUUUCAGAAAUUUGACUAUGAUGUGUCCUGGUGUGGAUUUCUUUGGAUUUUCCUCUUUAGGAUUUUAUCAGCUUCUUGGAUCACUAGAUUUAUGUCUUUUGCUAACUUUGGGAAAUUUUCAGCCACUAACACCUUAAGUCCUUUUUCAGCCCCAUCUUCUUUCUCCUCUCUUUUUACAAUUCUGAUGAUAUAAAUGUUUGAGCUGUUUUUAUAGUCCCACAUGUCCUUGAGUCUAUGUUCAUUUCUUAAAAAAUAUAUUUAUUUAUGGUGUUCAGAUUUGGUCAUUUCUAUUGUUCUAUUUUCUAUUUUAUUGAUUCUUUCCUCUGUCACUUUCAUUCUUCAGGGCAGUGGUGAAGAUUCUGCCUCAUCUGUAGGUCUCCUCUGACACCACACCAGUGGGCGUCCAUGGGGUCUCUCCUGACACUGCUGGAGGGGAGGCUUAUAGGGAUGAAAUUCAAGGCUCUUUACUUGACCUUCUUGGACACAACUCUGGCAGCGGUAUUGGGGUGUCUUGUGAGGGUGGAAGUCUAGGUUUCCUACUUAGCCUUUGUUGGAAUGGGUAGGGUGGGGACAACAGUGUUUUUCUGUGGUGUUUGGAUGGAAUAGAGUAGUUAUUGUCUAAAAGUUUUCUAUCUUGCUUGGCUCUUCCUUUCCUAGUCUUUUUGGCAAGACAGCAAAAAAUCUGCACUUGUUGGUGUUUAAUGGGCACCUGGCUUCCUUAGCUGCAAAUCUGAGAUAUAUGAGGCAAACCAAAAAUCCAGGGUACUAAUGACCAUAUGACUCCUUGGGUCUUGAGAUCCCUAGACAUUCUGUUGUCUUUCUUCCACCUUUCCGAUUAUUCUUAUGUUUGUUUUACAUAAAACAUUCAGAGCUUUUAGUUGUACUGAGCAGGAGGAAUGAAAAAAGUACAUCUACUCUGUCCUCCCAGAAGCAGAGGUUCAGAACUUCUUAUAUACAUAUCUCCACACAAAAAAGUGAGCUAUGAACCAUAGCUGCUAUUUCUAUCAUUUUACUUUCACAUUUUAUUAUGGGGAUUCUCUUUAGGAUAUAAGUCCCUGAAAAAUGCCACUUUUAAUUGUUGUAUAAUAUAGCAUUGCUUUGAUAGGUCUCAAUUAUUCAACUAAUCUUAUUUUAAAAAAUAUUUAGGCUAUUUUCAGUUUUUCACUAGUUUAGAUACUACUAAGUAAACAUAUGUUUUUCAUAAUAAUUGCCUGAUUUUCUGAUUAUUUUUCUUAGUAUAUAUUUCUGGAAGGGGAGUUUCUAGAAGAGAGGGUAUGAAAUAUUAAAAGAUCCUUCAUAAACUUUUGUUUCCAGGACAGUUGUACUGAUUUUGGCUUCUUAGAGCAGCAUUCUCCUAAGACAGAGUGCCUGACUUACCAUACUCUGAAGCUGAACAUUAUUAGUUAAAAACUUUAAAGGGGAAAAAGAGAAUUUUAAAAUUGUAAAUAGGAUUUCUUUGAUUAAUAGUGAGUUUGAACUUCACUAUAAUGCUAAUUCAAUAAUUUUACCAAAAACAUGAAAGUGUAAGAAUAAAUCACCAUAUUCAGGAAAUUUAAAGCUUGAUGAUAUCAUAAUUUGAUCUUAUGGUAUUAUAAUAUAUCAUGAUAAUGUAUCAUGAUAUAAUAUGAUAUUUAAUCUAUAUACAUAAUAAAAUUACAUAGAACUACACACACACACACAGAAACACAUACAAAUGAGUGGAUAUAAAACAGGUGAAAUCAGACACUUGUAAUGAGUAUUGGGUAUUGUAUAAAGUGUUGAAUCAUUAUACAGUAUACCUGAAACUAAUAUUACACUGUAUGUUAACCAAUUGGAAUUUGAAUAAAAACUUUAAAAAAAAUCAAGGUAUUUUUAAAAGGAAAAAAAAACAGGUGAAAUUUGAGUAAGAUCUGUGGGUUGUACCCAUAUUAACUCCUUAAUUUUGAUAUUAUACUCUAGUUGAAUAAAUUGUUACUACUGGAGGAAACUGCCUGAUGGGUACAUGGUACCUCUCUGAACUAUUUUAUUAAUGUUGGUAAUCAGUAUCCUCUGUUUUAUUUCUAUAAAUGUUAUUCUUUUGGAGUGUCUGAACCAGCCUGGUUCUUGAACUAGUUUUUUCCAAAGUUUCUCAGUUUAGAUCAGAGACAAGAGAACUCUCUAUUCUAGUAGACACGCCUGAAUCUGAUAUGGACAUUUGUCUUUUCUCAUGGGGGAGGCCACACUCUUGUUGGGUAUAUCAGAUAUCUGGCCAGGACAGUGCUUCAUACCUUGUUCCUGACUCAUACUUGAACCUGGGGUUUCUACUUCCCACCUCUCUAUUCUGCUGGGUAGGAGGACACUGAAUCUCUUGCCAUUUGACCCCAACUGGAAAUAGAGUCUGUUCUGUUCUUUGUUUUUCCCAGAAGAGGAUCUUGUAAUUUUCCACAGAACCUGUGACAUUGGAGGGUUAUGAAGAAUAUUGACGGGGUGGUCUCUGAUCCAAAGUAAGAAUGGGCAUAUAAAAUGAUUAGCUUUUAAAAUAGUAAAUAACUUUCUAAAGACUAUAAUAAUAGUAAAAAAGAAUUUCAACCAGUGUGUAAGAAUAUUCCUAGGCUAUCAGGAGUUUUCCCUGUCAGGCAGGACCAGAGUCAGGGCUUGCAAUGUUGCUUUUGAAUUUUGUCUGCUCCCAUAGCAAUAUACAUCCAAAUACAACUUUUGUUGUUCUGAUUUGGGCCAUACAUAAAGCAUACUCACUUAGAUAUCAAACUUAAUGUGCCUUGCAGUUAUAUUCCCAAAGGACAGAAUUGACAAAAUAUUCUGUUCAAAAGAAGUGAAGCUUUGGAAGUAGACAUGCAAGAGGAGAUCAGAGAAGGUCUCAUUAGACCCUCAGUUAGUAGGAAGGGGUUUGGAGUACCACAUCCAGUUUGUGGUAUCGUACUUUGACGUGGCAAGAAUGUACCAGUGCACUUUCUCAAGUGUGGUCUUCGGCUACCUGCAUUAGGAAGGGGGACCUAAACAUUCUGAUUCAGGGCCCAUUCCAGAUAUCCCCACAGCAUCAGACCACGGUGGCGGCUUGGGAAACCAGCAGUCUUCGUCUUUAACAAGCAUUCCAGGUAUUCAUAGGCAUACUGAAAUUUGAUGCCAAAACACAGCCUCUAGGGUUUUUGAGAAAUCUAGAAACCAUGCUGUCUGAGUUUCAAAGGGAACUAUAACUAGUUUGGAGAAAAGCAGGCUUGGAGAGGGGCUGAUGACUAUCUGGUUUUCAAGGCCUGUCUUGGAGACUUAGUCUCAUUAUUGCAGAAGUCCUAGGAUCAGUAUAUGCGAGUUAUAUAGUGGCAGAUUGCAGCCCAAUAUAAAAAGAAAAAAAAAUUUGUCUUUUAAAUUAGCAUUUAAAAAUGUAAGGCUGCCUUGAUACUAACCUUCUGAACACUGGAAAUUUUCAGUGAAAGGGUACAGAACCAUGUUAAGUAGAGUCAGGGUCUACAUCUCUAAAACAUUUUCCAAGAAUCUAUGAUCCCAUGUCACUUAGUUGGUUCUUCUGCCUUCAGCAUUUAUGUCCCUCCAAAUCUAUAGAAUUUACAUCUUCCUUUGUUAAGCCUUGGAAAACCAGUGUGUUAACUACUUUCUGUUUUGAGGUACUUUUUAAACAUUUUAAAAAAUGUUUAUUUAUUUUGAGAGAGAGAGUGAGUGAGUGAGCGAGCAAGUGCUAGCAUGGGCGAGCACAGGCAAGCAGAGAGAGAAAGAGAGAGAGAGAGAGAGAGGAAUCCCAAGUAGGCUCCAGGCUAUUGGCAUGGAGCCCACUUGGGGCUUGAUCUCCUGAACAUUGAAAUGAUGGCAGAAAUCAAGAGUCGGACACUUAACUGGCUGUGCCAACCAGGCUCCCCUGUUUUGAGGUACUUUUUUGUAUGAUACUUACAUCCCUUGAUAUGUUGUGCUUCCUUCUAGACCCCAUAGGUCUGUGUGAAGAAAAGUUUCUAGGCACCCCAGUGUUAUUGAUGCCCUCCAUUGCCUUUCUGUUUCUUAAAUGGCAGCCCUGUGUGGUUGGAAAGUAUCACUGACAAUGAGGCCUCAUCUUUCUUGUCCAUUUUGUAAUCACACACCUUUCACCCCUUUACUUCACUUUUGAAAAAAUAUCUGGAAUUAUUUCUGUCUACUCUUUCACUUUUCUGAGGUGAUUUUGGAUUUGUUGUUUUGAGUACAUGUCUGAACUGAGGGGCCUGGGAUUAACCUUGGACCACUUGGGAAUCUCUUAUCCAUUCCAUCUAUGGCAUGAAGCUUACCAGCAAGUUCAGGGUCAGGAUGGUGUAUCUGCUCUCAUACACUGUGUAUGUGUGAUGUGCUAUGUGAUGAGAUCUGAUUGAUAACAAUGGACCCCGUGAUCCUCCUCUUGUGUCUCUCCUUCUAGGUGAGGAGGUGUCACCUCCUUCUAGGUGUCUCUAGAAGAUGGGGAGAAGGGUAUGAUGGAGAGAAAUGUUAUACUUCUCAAGUUAGUACUACUAAUAUUUCUCAGAAGGGCAAAUUAUAGAAGACGGAGCCCAUUAUUUAGUCAGCAUUUUCAAAAAUAAAUUGAUACUUCCAAGUAAAAAGAUCGUGCACGUUCCCUGAUAGAGGAAUCUUUUUCCUGGCAGGUGACAUGCUGUGGCUUUGUGUAGAAAUGCCUAAAUGUCUCUUCUUUUUAUCUGUUAUUACUAUCAACAAUUCUGACACCAAAUGUGUGGGUUUUCCAUGCCAAGAAAUUCUCCUAUUGUCUGUCAACACCAACUGGAUGUCCUACACUUCAAUUCAAUUCUGAUACUAUCUGCCCAGAGUUAAGAGACCCCAGAGUCCCAUAAGACUGCCUCCCACUUAACAUGCCAAUUGUAAGUAGUGGGUUCCCAGGGAACUCAUGCUUUUAUCUGACUUGACUACAAAUCAGGAGUUCCUAUGACCCCCUCCCCUGGUGUGGUAAUUUGUUAUAAUGGCUCAUAGGACUCAGGAAAACAAACACUUUGCUUACUAUUACCAGUUUAUUAUAAAGGAUAUUAUGAAGGAUACAAAUGUACAGGCUGAUGAAGAGGUACAUAAGGCAAGAUCCAGAAGCGUCCUUAGUGCAGCAGCUUCAGUCCCAGUGGAGUUUGGGGUGUGCUUCUUUCCUGGCACAUGAGUACAUACAUUUGCCAUCCUGGAAGCUCUUGGAACCCUACUAUCUAGGUUUUUUAUGAAGGUUUCAUUACAUAGGCACGAGUGAUCAAAUCAUUGGCUGUUGAUGAUUAACUCAAUUUCCAGCCCUUCUCCCUCCUUGGAGGUCAGGAGUGGGGCUGAAAGUGUCAACCUUCUAGUCACAUGAUUGGUGCCUCUGGCAACCAGCUCCCAUCCAAAGUUAUCCAACACCCACUCAGCACUUUAGCACAAACUCAGGUAGGGUUAGAAGGGGCUUAUUUUGAAUAACAAAACACACUACUCUCACCCCCUAUCACUCAGAAAAUUACUAGGACUGGGCACAAAGACAAAAUUCAUAUUGGUUAUUAUAUUACAGUUCCAUUUAUUCUUGUUUUGUUUAAAUUUUCCCUUUCUUAAAAGUAGGCAACUAAUAACAAUGACCACUUAGUAUGGGAGAAGGUGAUUAACUAAUGUGGUUAAACUUAUUUGAAGCUCUUGGAGAAGACUGCUUUGGAUGAGAAAACCUCAUUCAUGUGAAAACUGUUAAUUACCCUGUUAAUUACCCUUUUUCUGAUGGUUAUUUUUUUCUAAAUAAUUAUAAGUAAAUUCUGAGAUUUUCAUCCCCCAUUCCCCUAUUAAAAAAAUUAAAUAUCAUGUCUCCUGCAUAAAGGAGUCCUUGUUGAGGCUAGGGAUCACUUGCUGUAAGUCACCUUGUCUUUACCUCUAUCAUUACAGAGCCCUUCAUAGUCCAGCAAGCGUGGGGGUCUCCUUGGGCCUUACGGUGACCCAAUGGAAAAGGCUGAGGCUCAGGUGUCUGGGGCUUUGAAGUUUGCUACUCUGAGUUGCUGUUCAGUGAGCUGAAAACCCUGGUCCAGACUUAGUGCUUUCACAGCCUUCUCCCUCCUGUGGAGGGGACACUGUGUCUGUCCAUCGCUGCCUUCCUCACCCUCAACUUCUUAUCAGUGGUAGCUCCUUGAUUAUGGAACCGAAACAGGGAUUUCUGAAUCUCACAGUGGACGAAUCUUAAGUUCUCGGGACUGAUGCAACUGGCAGCAGCCCAGUGGCAGUUCCACUAAAACAACUGAACUCCAGCACCUCAAUUUCGAUCUCGGAACCGUCCUCUUACAUUUGUUUCUUUGCAUACAUAAUUUGUCAAACUUUGCAAGCCGCACACCAAAAUUCUGCCAACAAAGAACAGGAAGUUUGCGCCAUCCUUCUGGGUUUACUGCUAUCUUCUUGGUUUUGCAGUGACUGGAAUCGGGCCCUGGUGAAAGUCUUAACUCAUUAGCAGUUUGGAAUUGCGCUCAAGGCUUCUGGGCAAUGAAUUGAAAAAAAGAAAAAAAAAAAACAACCUGAGCAACAAGGGGACUUGGGCACAUUAUUUAUACAUCUGCUACACACGUGUACAUCCCUCAGGAAAAAAGGCAGAAUUUGAACUGUUCUUUGAGCAACGUGUAGGCCUUAGGCUGGCGAAGGUCAGGGAAGAUGCUCCAGGAGAAAGAAACAAUAGGAUACAUCAUGGUCUCCUCAUAGGAUGCUAGGAGCCUACCUGCUUGGAGGGAAAGCUGCAACCCUGCCUAAAAAAAAUGCCCGAGCCGGUCUCUAGAAUCCCGCAGACACAGUUCCGGUGUGAUGUGUUGCGCAGUUCUCCAUGAGCUUCUCAGGGUUUCCAUCUGGCUGCUUCACAAGCAUUUUAGUCCCACACCUCUGCUGAAGAAGAGG